GACGAACGCUGGCGGCGUGCUUAACACAUGCAAGUCGAACGGAAAGGCCUCUUUCGUGGGGUACUCGAGUGGCGAACGGGUGAGUAACACGUGGGUAACCUGCCCUUGUCUUUGGGUUAACUUCCUGAAACUGGGGCUAAUACCUGCUAGGAGCUCCUUCUGCAUGGUGGGGGUUGUAAAGUUUCGGCGGUUGGGGGUGGGCUCGCGGGUUAUCCGCUUGUUGGUGGGGUAGUGGCUUACCAAGGCCUUGGCGGGUAGCCGGCCUGAGAGGGUGAGAGGCCGCAUUGGGACCGAGGUGAGGCCCAGACUGCGAAGGGAGGCAGAAGUGGGGAAGAUUGAACGAGGGGUGGCAGCCUGAUGAAGCAGGGCCGUGUGCGGGAUGACGGUCUUAGGGUUGUAAAACGAUUUCGCUAAUGACGAAGCUUUGUGUGACGGUAGUGGGUAAAGAAGCACCGGCUAACUACGUG
rnacentral:rRNA from 1 species